GACGAACGCUGGCGGCGUGCUUAACACAUGCAAGUCGAACGAUGAUGCUGGAGCUUGCUCCAGUUGAAUAGUGGCCAACGGGUGAGUAACACGUGAGCACUCUGCCCUUGACUCUGGGAUAACUGCGGGUAACUGUAGCGAAUACCGGAUACUUUCACCGGAAGGGAUCUUCUGGUGAUGAAAGAACUUCGGUCAGGGAUGAGCUCGCGGCCUAGCAGGUUGUUGGUGUGGUAACGGCUCACCAAGUCGACCACGGGUAGACGGCCUGAGAGGGUGACCGGCCACACUGGGACUGAGACACGGCCCAGACUCCUACGGGCGGCAGCAGUGGGUAAUAUUGCACAAUGGGCGAAAGGCUGAUGCAGCAACGCCGCGUGAGGGAUGAAGACCUUCGGGUUGUAAACCUCUUUUAGCAGGGAAGAAGCGAAGGUGACGGUACCUGCAGAAAAAGCACCGGCUAACUACGUGCCAGCAGCCGCGGUAA
rnacentral:rRNA from 1 species